rnacentral:rRNA from 1 species
UCCGUCCAAUUUCCACAUCUUCUUAUCGGUAUCGUGUUCCCCGCCGGGCGCUUAUUUUAGGCUAGGAUUGGUGGGGGUAACCGUCAUCCAUUGGGCAACUGGAUUACGGUUAGGCCGAACUGGAGAGGGGUAAUUCGGCCCACCAUUUGGGGAUUGAGGACCACGCCCCCAAACUCCUACCGGGAAGGCAAGCAGUAGGGAAAUCUUCCACAAUGGGACGAAAAGUCUGAUGGAGCAACGGCCGCGUGAGUGAAGAAAGGGUUUUCGGCUCGUAAAAACUCUGUUGUUAAAAGAAGAAACAUAUCUGAGAGUUAACUUGUUCAGGUAUUGACGGUUAUUUAACCCAGAAAGCCACGGGCUAACUACGUGCCAGCCAGCCCGCGGUAAUACGUAGGUGGCAAAGCGUUGUCCGGAUUUAUUUGGGCGUAAAGCGAGCGCAGGCGGUUUUUUAAGUCUGAUGUGAAAGCCUUCGGCUCAACCGAAGAAGUGCAUCGGAAACUGGGAAACUUGAGUGCAGAAGAGGACAGUGGAACUCCAUGUGUAGCGGUGAAAUGCGUAGAUAUAUGGAAGAACACCAGUGGCGAAGGCGGCUGUCUGGUCUGUAACUGACGCUGAGGCUCGAAAGUAUGGGUAGCAAACAGGAUUAGAUACCCUGGUAGUCCAUACCGUAAACGAUGAAUGCUAAGUGUUGGAGGGUUUCCGCCCUUCAGUGCUGCAGCUAACGCAUUAAGCAUUCCGCCUGGGGAGUACGGCCGCAAGGCUGAAACUCAAAGGAAUUGACGGGGGCCCGCACAAGCGGUGGAGCAUGUGGUUUAAUUCGAAGCUACGCGAAGAACCUUACCAGGUCUUGACAUACUAUGCAAAUCUAAGAGAUUAGACGUUCCCUUCGGGGACAUGGAUACAGGUGGUGCAUGGUUGUCGUCAGCUCGUGUCGUGAGAUGUUGGGUUAAGUCCCGCAACGAGCGCAACCCUUAUUAUCAGUUGCCAGCAUUAAGUUGGGCACUCUGGUGAGACUGCCGGUGACAAACCGGAGGAAGGUGGGGAUGACGUCAAAUCAUCAUGCCCCUUAUGACCUGGGCUACACACGUGCUACAAUGGAUGGUACAACGAGUUGCGAACUCGCGAGAGUAAGCUAAUCUCUUAAAGCCAUUCUCAGUUCGGAUUGUAGGCUGCAACUCGCCUACAUGAAGUCGGAAUCGCUAGUAAUCGCGGAUCCAGCAUUCCCCUUCGAGCG